rnacentral:rRNA from 1 species
AGCAGCCGCGGUAAUUCCAGCUCCAAUAGCGUAUAUUAAAGUUGUUGCAGUUAAAAAGCUCGUAGUUGAAUUUCAGGCCUGGCUGGACGGUCCGCCCUUCGGGUGAGUACUGUCUGUGGUCGGGUCCUACCUUCUGGCGAAGCGUCAUGGCCUUAACCGGCUGUGGCGGGGAACCAGGACUUUUACUGUGAAAAAAUUAGAGUGUUCAAAGCAGGCAAUCGCUUGGAUACAUUAGCAUGGAAUAAUGGAAUAGGACAAUGGUUCUAUUUGUUGGUUUCUAGGACCGUUGUAAUGAUUAAUAGGGAUAGUUGGGGGCAUUAGUAUUCAAUUGUCAGAGGUGAAAUUCUUGGAUUUAUUGAAGACUAACUACUGCGUAAGCAUUUGCCAAGGAUGUUUUCAUUAAUCAAGAACGAGAGUUAGGGGAUCGAAGACGAUCAGAUACCGUCGUAGUCUUAACCAUAAACUAUGCCGACUAGGAAUCGGGCGAUGUUGAAAAAAUGACGC